rnacentral:misc_RNA from 1 species
GUAGGUGAACCUGCGGAAGGAUCAUUAUCACGUUAUCCACGUAUAAACCAACCGUGAACCGUACUUUAACAUCAAUCAAUUCUUUUUUUUCUUUGAUGGUCGAGAGGUAGUUGGGCAACCGAUUAUCUUUCAGCCAACGAAGGGAAAAAAGAAAUGGUGUUAAUUUUAACCCCUAUUAACCAUUUUAACCACAAAACAUUAUAACCUUUUAAACUAACUUUAUUUCAUACUCUUCGGAGAUGAAAUUCAU